GGGGAUAUAGCUCAGUGGUAGAGCGCUUGCCUAGGAAGCUCAAGGCCCUGGGUUCGGUCCCCAGCUCCG
rnacentral:tRNA from 1 species